UGGGGAAUUUUGCACAAUGGGGGAAACCCUGAUGCAGCGACGCCGCGUGAUUUAGAAGGCCUUCGGGUUGUAAAAAUCUUUUUUACGGGAUGAAAAUGACAGUACCGUAAGAAUAAGGUCCGGCUAAAUACGUGCCAGCAGCCGCGGUAAUACGUAUGGACCGAGCGUUGUCCGGAAUCAUUGGGCGUAAAGGGUACGUAGGCGGCCUAGUAAGUUAGAAGUGAAAUAAUAUAGCUCUACUAUAUAAAGCUUUUAAAACUGCUAGGCUUGAGAGAUGGAAGGGAAAGUGGAAUUCCUAGUGUAGCGGUGAAAUGCGCAGAUAUUAGGAAGAAUACCGGUGGCGAAGGCGACUUUCUGGUCAUCAUCUGACGCUGAGGUACGAAAGCGUGGGUAGCAAACAGG
rnacentral:rRNA from 1 species